CAAAGAAUCCAAACCACUUUCAAACUUAUCUCUUGGAAGCGCUUUUAAGCCUCCCUCUCCUCAAUCAACAUGUCUCCCUGCUCCUGCAACUGCUGCUCCGGCAACUGCUCUAGCUGCUCCUGCAGCUCUUGCAGCGUUGGUCUCC
rnacentral:sRNA from 1 species